UUAGACAGCUGGGUCACGUUGGAUCUUUCAUAAGUGGUGGUUGAGGUUGACUAGCUUGAUCAGAGUGGGGUUGGGUCAGGGAUGGAUACAAGGGAACGAAGGGGGCGAUGGUACCUUAAAAAAUUUAAAUAAAUACUUAUAUAACGGUUCGUACUCUGAAAUUAUAGUAGUUUGUGUUCAAUUAUUAGGUAUGUUUGCUUUCGUACCUUCAAAGUUAAAAUUAUGGAUAUGUCUCUAGAUUGAAUAUAAGCUUUCGGAUCUCUUAGUGAACCCUUUUUGUAGAGAAAUUCGGAAAGACUAACUACAAAUUUACUAAUUAAGCUUAUAUAAUAAAGAUAAUAUACCAAAUCUUUUUAAUGAAAAAUAUUGUUCUCUCAUUUGAUGGAUAACAUGAUUGGACACCUCAUUUUGGUAAGGCUUAGCCAAAAAUAGAACAUAUAAUGUCUCUAAAAAUACUAGAAUGUUAGAUUAGUUAACAUGAAGUUGUAAAGUUAGUUCAAAUACAUUUAACAUAUAUUUUUUAUCUUUUAUUUUUAGAGAAAAACAUGAUACAUCUUAUAACAAACAAAAAUUAUAUGUUUAAUGCUAGAUUUCCUCUUAGGGUCUUACCCGUUACCCCCAAAAGGUCGUACAUUCAAAUUCUCUUAUCAGCAAUUUUGGGUUAAUCUAUACAGUUUUAAUUGGACCGUAAUAGUUAAGGUGGUCUCCGAAAUUAAUCAGUCUUUCGAGCGGAUACCAAAUUAUUAAAAAAUGCUAAAUUUUCUCCAAAGGGUCUUAACAGUAUACCCCCAAAGCUCAUACUCUCAAAUUAUCUGUAGCACUUUUGGUAGUUUAUAAGGUUAUGGAUCCCGCUAAUAGACAAUAAAGUUAGUCGGUCCUUUGAGUCAAAUACCAAAUUAUAAAAAAAUGCUAGAUUUCGACUCCAACUUGGCAAUUUAUGUAGACUUUUUAGUACUGACUAAUGAUUCUAACGUUUGAAAGAAAAGUAAUAUUCCUUUCACACUUCUAUGUAUUGCUAGCAAAAUUUCCACUCAGAGACGAUAAAAUACCACUAUCAUAUACAUCUGCAUAUUCAUUGGCUAGUCUUGAAGAUAUGUGAUUCACAUUCCUUCAAACCGGCCCACAAUUGAAUUGGAAAGUGUUGGAAAUUUAGUAGUGUGGACUUGCUUUUGGGAAUUCUCAAAUCUCCAUAGUGGGGUUGUGUUUCCAUUUUCAACAGCAUAGACACAUUGAUGGAAAAAAAUUGCUUGGAAAUUUUAGACGUAACUUUAAAGGAAAGCUUACAUGUUGUUGUUCUAUUUUGGAACCAUUUCAGUAAUUUGGAUCGUUCAUAUUUUGUAAUGCACGAUAAGUCAUAAUCAAUGAUAUUCAAAGCUUAAAUGUUUUCAGAUUUAAUUCAUUUUUGUUAUUAAUUUGCUUAGUUCUAAAAAAUUCUAUGUAUUUAUUUUUACCAAUUCGGUUUGAUUUUUUUAAAAAAAUAAAAAAUAUAAACUCAAAUGGAAACUUUAUGAGGUUUUUGUUACAUCCAUCAAUAAUACAACUUCUCACUCCUGCAUUUUUAAUCACAGAGAGAGUCUCAAUAUGGAAACUGUACAAGUCAACUAAUGCUACCUUCAUAGCUUGACUAAGAAAAAACUGGUACAUGUGUGUCCAAAUUCCAACUACCACCAAAGCCUUUCCACAUGAUCACUAGCAUAUACUCUCUAUAUUCAAAAUUUUAAUUAAUUUUCAAAAAAAAAACUUUAAUUAUACAUUUGAUUUGGGUAUUUAAAUGCAAAAAAUAAAUAAAUUAUUAUUCGGUUUUACCAUAUCAUUAAUAACGUUUGUCUCGUUCACAUUAUUGUGAUAAAUGUUACAAUAUUUUGUGAUAAAAAAAUAGAAUUUUUUUUAUUACAAUAAAUUAUGAUAAUAUUAUUCUAAGUAUAUACUGUAAUCGCUCCCUACAAAAUAUGCUUAUGAAAAAGUUUAAGUACUGAGAACAUAUUACAAAGUGAAACAUGUUUCACACUUUAUAACUACUGUUGCAAGUUUCAAACGUAAGAUAUGAAUGAUGCCUAUAGCUAUUGUAUGUCAAUUAUCAAAUCACAACAUCUGAUAGAUUUGAAAACUGUUUUAGCAUCAGCAUGUCCACCACCCUUGUUAGAUUAGAGGUUCCGCUAUUACAUCGUUAUCCCUCCUUAUUAUUAUUAUUAUUAUAAAACUAUUACAAUGUAAUACGUAGGACCUAUUUCUUUUUCUCAUUAAUUUUUUUUGAAUUAUAAAAAAUAAAUUUUAUUAGAUAAACAAGAUAAUUACAAAUAAGAAAGGCUAUUGUAGCAAUACAACAUCAUUAUCAAAAAAGCACAUUCCAAUUAUGUUGGCACUUACUCUUAUCCCAACUAUUUUUUUUUUCAUUAUUUCUUACUGGCAAAUUUUGAAAAACAAAAGCAAAUGAGCAGUGCUGGCCUGAGGCAAGAGUUCGGAUCCUCAACUGUGAAUCUUGGUGGAGUGUUUAUAAAGU
rnacentral:lncRNA from 1 species